UUAUUUCGUGCUUUCCUUCCUUAGUUUCUUACUCAAUGCUGCCGAUACAGUCCAGUAACGUUACAUGUCCCGUUGUCCUAUCUGUGAGCCAGAUCUACAUGUCAAGCGUAUCGCUCCAAGCAUUUGCGAAGUAAGCCAAGCAGACCACACAAGGCAACGGACAAGGUAGAAAAGAACAAGAAGACCAAGAACCCCGGUGAAUCUAAUCCUUACCAGGUCAUUCCGUUGAGGACCGGGAAUACAAGGCCAGGCUUCUGAGCAAACCUUGGCAACGGACGGUCAACAGCAUAUUGACUAUUGAUACCACUUCAAGGGAA